rnacentral:lncRNA from 1 species
GGGCGGAACCGAUUAGGGCGGAGCGGAGGGAAUGUGAGUUCUUACCAUUGCCUGACGCUACACAUGCAGAGGGCCUAGCCGAGAAGCCAGCCGGGGCUGAGGGAAGGACGGCUCCAGCGAAGCCGGGAACAGCGGAGGGAAGGCUUUGGGGACUGAGCUCCCUGCCGUGCAGGGUGAGAGCUAUGAGGAGCUACCCUUUGGACGGGUCUGUAGAAGACAGGGCCUCCCUCUGUCACCCAGGCUGGAGUGCAGUGGUGCAAUCACAGAUCCCUACAGCUUCAAACUCCUGGGCUCAAGUGAUUCUCCUCCUGAGUAGCUGGGACUACAGGCUGGGAAGUUCCAGAUUGGACGGCUGCAUCUGGCAGCUUCUGGUGAGAGCUGUGUGCUGCACCAAAAUGUGGCAGAGAAAUGGAAGGCGGACCAGGCACCUGGAGGAAAGGGGGAAAACACGAGGGGCGACCUUGCUUGAUGACAACCCAACUCUGAAGGUAACUGAUCCAGACCCAAGAGAGUGAGAACUCACUUCUAUGGGACUUGCAUUAAUAUCCUGUCGUGAAGGCCCAUCCCUCAUGAUCCAAACACCCCUGAAAGGUCCCCCCACGUCUCAAUGCCGUUAUAUUGGCAAUUAAAUUUCAACAUGAGUUUUGGUAGGGGCAAACCACAUCCAAACCAUAGCAUCUUCUCACUGUUGAGUCACUUUUUAAUGUGGCUAUUAGAAAAAUUUAAAUGACAUGUGUGUUUGCACUUGUGGCUGUUUUGCAUCCGUAUCUGGUAUACAGUGCUGCUCUAGUAGUGAAGGUGGAGCGCCCCGAGUGAGAUGACCCCGAUUUGCCUCGGGGGGAAGUGGAAGGGCGUGGCCUGGUGUUCAGCAGUGGAGUGUGGGAUCACGGAGGGACAGCUGGAUCUCAUUAAGGUGAAGUGGAGGGGCAGGGUUCACGGAGGCACACACUGAGGAAGCUUCUGCAGCAGUGAGUUGAGGGAGUGGUUAGGCUUUGUGGGUAGGGGACUGAGCUGUUUGAGGGUAUCUGUAAGAGGCUGUGCAGCAAGGCAGGUGGCAAGAAGCAAGAUGUUGGCUGGGCAUGGUGGCACAUGCCUGUAAUCCCAGCACUUUGGGAGGCCAAGGCAGGAGGAUUGCUUGAGGCUGGGAGUUUGAGACCAGCCUGAUCAACAUAGUGAGACCACGUCUCUAUAAAAAAUAAAUCAAUAAAUAAAAUUUAAAAAGCAAGAUGUUGCCAAGCAGUUGGCCAAGUGGUGAGUAUGAAAGAGAGAGACCCUGCCCUGAGGGCUUUCUGUCUCUCACCCACCUGGAUCAGCACACAGCAUGUAUUUGUCUUCCACUCCAAGCCUACAUCCUGGCCCCUGUUGGAGAAGGGCUCUGACCAGUUCACUGGCAGAAUAUGAAAAUUGUAUGUUAAGACAUGCACGGCAUGAAGCCCUAAGAAGCCAAGAAUCCUUUCUUUUCACAGCAGGAGAAGGCCUCUGGCUGUUUCCCUGUGUUGACUGGAGGCUGAGUCUCUGUCCUCGACACCCCACCCGCUGCUGCCUCCUCUGCCCUGCCUGGGGAGCCCUGCCUUGCCUGGCCCUGUGCUGGGAACGGCCAGAGCUGGGGCUUCUUGCGUUUCCUGUUCACACCCGCAGAGCCAGCUUUGCCUUCCCCUCUGCUGUGCAGGGAGAAGGGAGGUGGGAGGUGCGGAGGGGAUGGUCCUGUCUGUGGCUUCCUAUUUCUUGGCUGGCAGGAGAAAGGCAGGCUUUCUGUGUCUAUGUCUCUGUGGUCUUUCAGACUCAGCACUUGGGUAGGAAGAUGAAAACCUCGGAGUGCCCCUUGUCUCUUUCCCUUGGGUCUGAUUAGACCAAAGGCUGGUGUGGUGGAGGAGGUGAAAGGACCUGGCACGGGGAGGCUGGAAGCCCAGCGCUGCUCUGCUCACUUUCCCCUCUGCCAGCCUUUGUUACCAAAAGGUCUGGACUUGAUCUUGGAAAUGCAUCAUUUCUUGAUCCUUCUCUAGCCUUUAGGGACAAAUAUACUAGAAGAAAAUGGUCAAGACAAUUGGUGCCACCAGCAGGAGGCAUAGCAAGGAAGCAGGGGGUGAAAGGGUUUCUCCUUGAGAGAAGCAAGCCUCUGAGUCCAAGGCCCUCCACCAAGCGGCUCUGGUCCAGUGUUCCAGCCUUAUUGCCCAUCCUGCUCCAUGUAUGGAGUUGGGGGUUGUCACCACACACAAACACAACGUUCUGCCAACUCACCCUCCUCGAUGUCUCUGUUCAUCCCCUCCUUCCCAUUUCCUCCACUGGACCACCGCC